rnacentral:rRNA from 1 species
GACGAACGCUGGCGGCGUGCUUAACACAUGCAAGUCGAACGGACAGACCCUGCUUUUGUGCCUUUCUCGUUAGGCGAACGGGUGAGUAACACGCGAGUAACAUCUCCUUGACUUUGGGAUAACUUCACGAAACUCGGGCUAAUACCCCAUAGGAGCUCUUGAUGCAUGGUGUGGGUUGGAAAAUUCCGGCUGUUGUGGAUGGACUCGCUGCUUAUCAGCUUGAUGGUGGGGUAGUGGCUGACCAAGGCUUUGACGGGUAGCCGGCCUGGGAGGGUGACCGGCCACAUUGGGACUGAGAUACGGCCCAGACGCCUACGGGAGGCAGCAGUCGGGAAUAUUGCAGAAUGGGCGGAAGCCUGAUGCAGCAACGCCGCGUGCGGAAUGACGGCCUUUGGGUUGUAAACAGAUUUGGCCUGUGACGAGGCGGGAGUGACGGUAAUGAGUAAAGAAGCAACGGCUAACUACGUG